CACGUAGGGCGCAAGCGUUGUCCGGAAUUAUUGGGCGUAAAGAGCUCGUAGGCGGACUGUCACGUCUGCUGUGAAAAGCUGGGGCUUAACCCUGGCCUUGCAGUGGAUACGGGCAGACUAGAGGUAGGUAGGGGAGAAUGGAAUUCCUGGUGUAGCGGUGAAAUGCGCAGAUAUCAGGAGGAACACCAAUGGCGAAGGCAGCUCGCUGGAACGGUACUGACGCUGAGGCGCGAAAGCGUGGGGAGCGAACAGG
rnacentral:rRNA from 1 species